rnacentral:hammerhead_ribozyme from 1 species
AUCCAGCUGACGUGUCCCUAAUAGAACGAAAUGCGCAUCCUUGGAU